UCUGUCUUUUGGGACAUCUUGGUCCUUGGC
rnacentral:piRNA from 1 species